rnacentral:rRNA from 1 species
AUUGAACGCUGGCGGCAGGCCUAACACAUGCAAGUCGAACGAGUGGCGGACGGGUGAGUAAUGUCUGGGAAACUGCCUGAUGGAGGGGGAUAACUACUGGAAACGGUAGCUAAUACCGCAUACCAUCGGAUGAGCCUAGGUCGGAUUCGCUAGUUGGUGUGGUAAAGGCCUACCAAGGCGACGAUCCGUCACUGGUCUGAGAGGAUGAUCAGGCACACUGGAACUGAGACACGGUCCAGACUCCUACGGGAGGCAGCAGUGGGGAAUAUUGGACAAUGGGCGAAAGCCGGAUCCAGCCAUGCCGCGUGUGUGAAGAAGGUCUUCGGAUUGUAAAGCACGUUAAGUUGGGAGGCGUUACCCGCAGAAGAAGCACCGGCUAACUCCGUGCCAGCAGCCGCGGUAAUAC